rnacentral:lncRNA from 10 species
CUCCCUUGUGCAGGGCGGCUCCGUGGCCUGCCCGUCACCACCUGUCUGGGCUCCCUCCCCUUGAGUGAUGACUUCUCCCCAGCAGCUGACACCUGAGCUGGAGAGGGUGAAGAGCUGCCAUUCUCCAGAAAUAGACAGUGACACAGCGGAUGUUAGAUUGAGAUUAAUCUCUUGCACCGGACCGGCCCCUUGCCAACAAACAGGCCUGCAGCCAGAGGAUCUCUCAGGCCCUUUCCCCUGAUCUGGCCUCCUGGGAACUGCGUAACUCAGAUUAACAACAGGCUCUGGAGAGCUGAACAUUGUAUUACGUGCUCACUGGAAAUUUGGAUGUGUCCUUCUGUGAACUGCCUGCCCAGGAGCUAUGACAUGAGCUUUGCAAGUCUUCCCAAGGACCUGUUUGACUGGCACCUCUGUGGACCCAGCAGAUCUCAAAGUGCAGACAAGCCAACAUAACACAGCAUUCACGAUUCUAUUAUAAAAGAUGUGACGCAUCUCUGCUCUGCCGCUCCCCUCUCCCCCCUGACCCAGGCCUAACCUCCGACCACGUGAGUCCCGUCGCUCUUGGGAGUUCCCUGGGGGCCACGCUAUCCCUGGAAUGGGGACUCCCCUUCUGUCUCUGUGCUGUGUGCGACAGUCAUUCCAGGGAUAUCUUCCCGUGAGUGCAGGCAUCUCACCCUCGGCUCACGAAGUGCUCUCUAUGCUUCAAAUAGCUUCAAAAUAAUUUACCAAUACAAGCAAUUCUGAUUUUCCUGGCA